AAUAUUGGACAAUGGGGGCAACCCUGAUCCAGCCAUGCCGCGUGUGUGAAGAAGGUCUUCGGAUUGUAAAGCACUUUAAGUUGGGAGGAAGGGCUUUAGGCUAAUACCCUGAAGUUUUGACGUUACCAACAGAAUAAGCACCGGCUAACUCUGUGCCAGCAGCCGCGGUAAUACAGAGGGUGCAAGCGUUAAUCGGAAUUACUGGGCGUAAAGGCCGCCUAAGUGGGUUCGUUAAAAUGGUUUUAAAUCCCCCGGGUUUACCUUGGAACUGCCUUCAUAACUGCUGAGCUAGAGUAAGGUAAGGGGUAAUUGGAUUUCCUGUGUAGCCGUUAAAAUCGUAGAUAUAGGAAAGAACACCAGUGGCGAAGGCCAAUUACUUGACUGAUACUGACACUGAGGUGCGAAAGCGUGGGGAGCAAACA
rnacentral:rRNA from 1 species